CAGCAAAGGAGGCCUUCGGCGGCCACCGGUUUACAAGAGAGUAGACAAGGCAGCGCUGCCCCCGUGUGUAGCGGGGCAUUCAGGGAGAACCAGUAGCUUAUGAUAGUUCCCUGCAUCCUCUUACCGAAUGUCUAGUAAAUUCUCAAAUCAGUUUUUGUUUUUUAUUUCCCAGAGUCCUCACUGAAGAAGGCCACAUUACAGUCACUGCCUGCUUCUCCACUGGGAUGCAAUGACUCCCUUCCUAUGUCCCUGCUGCAGUGAAGAAAUGAUGUCCUUUUAUCCAGAUGUCCCCAAAAGUCCAUUUCCUGGGAUGGAAACAUAAACCAGGAAGACUCAUGGGACACUUUGCACUCAGAGCUUCUUCUCCAUUGUGUAUCCUUCCAUUUCUUUAAUGACAAGAGAAGAAAACCCUCUCCAGGAAAAAAAGGUCCCUGCCUUACCCACAGGACAAAGCAAAAGAGCAUCCAUUAGCCCAGGAGUGAUUUACCUCUCUGAAGCUAUGGGAUAUGUAACAAAUCUUCCUCGCGGCCAAGAGCCACAAGAUGUAUAUCGCAUACUGCAGAUGGCUGAAAGAAGAGACAGCUCUGAGAGCAGUUCAGAGGUGGGAGAUAAGGUUAUCAUCAUGCCACUGCUGGACAGGCUGUACUCAGUCCUGGGGCCAUUUUGGGACAGUGGCUUUGGCAGUUCAUCUUCAUGUACUUGUGAGGAUUAAGAUUAUCCAAGAGCCACAGUGGCAGCACAGUUCAUUGACAGUCAUAUGGUAUAGCCUACACCUGGGCCAUGCUGGGCCUGCUCAGGACUGCGAAAUUUCCAUAUGAUUAGUUUUCCAUGGCUUUGAAUGCAUGAAAAGAGGAAUCUGUAGACAUGUAGCCCAGUAAAUACAGUAUUGCCAUAUCUAGUUAAUAGGCCACAGACUUUGUACUGAGUUUGCAAGGCCUCAGGACUGAGGAUUGUCAAACAUGCUUUUUCUGAACUUGUCUUGAUCUGCCAGGAGCAUGGUUUUUAUUUGAUUUAGCUGUUAACCGCAAUUUUUCUAAUGAUCAGGAAGCUAUGCCUAAUUUGUUUUACUUUCCCAUAUCUUUGUAUGGUACAACUCUAUGAUUUUUAUGUAGACAGUAGUAACAACUACUGAUUCUGUGUGGAAUGAGAUAUUUGUGACUCUAAUGUAAUGCAAGAAUACAGGCCUGAUAUGACAGCAGAGGCCUUGCAAAUGGAGACAAAGGAUGCAGUGUGGAGCAGUACAUGCAUGAGAUGAUAAGGGAUGGGGCAUAAGCUGGCACUGGAGGCCCUAAGACUAUAAACAACUCACCACUAGUCAGUUAAAGAAAUUCAGACCUGCAGCUGCACAAAACUGAUUUUAGGAGUAACAAAGAGUAUAAACAAGAAGUAUCCAACAUAUGUAAACCACACCACAUAUAGUAAAUUGGAGUGUAAUGUGAACGGGCAGACCAAUAAUGAAAGAGCAAGGCGUAAAAGCAUGUUAGCAAACAUAAAAAUGAACCCAAGUAAACCCUAGAGUGACAAAGUGAUCACCAUCACCAUCACACUGCUCCCAACAAAGGAUCUGGGAUGCUAAUUUCUUGCUGUACUCCCCUACCAGCCAUCAACGUUAGGACCUUGAGGGGCAGAGGAAAGGUGAGUGUAACACUAGAAAAAGGUAUAGAUACUAAAAAGUGCGUGUAUAACAAUUUUAGCUAUUAUUAUUGUUGAGACUUCUUCCGUAUAGUAAUAUUCUUUAUUUUUUCUUUAUUUUCCUGUGAUAAUUAGACCUGGACUAAUAAUAAUUCUUUGAUUAGACUGUCAAGAUUUCAAUUAUACUAACAAUAAAUUCCUAGCUUUAUAUAUUCCUUUUUUUGCC
ensembl:lncRNA